ensembl:miRNA Gm25996 predicted gene, 25996
AUGUAGGGUAACUCAGUCAAACCUUGUGUGUGUGUGUGUGUGUGUGUGUAUGUAUAUGCAAAUACACAUACACACAUGUGUGUAUAUAAAUAUAUAC